rnacentral:lncRNA from 1 species
AAAAACUCUCUCUCAGAAAGAGAAAGAAAAAAGAAAAACAAAAGGAGGAGAACUUUCUUCCUCCAUCCGUUUUCGCCGGUGAUACCCCACCACACAAACCAACCUCGCCGCGGUUUCCACCACCUCCAUUAACUCCACAAAACCCAAUUUCUUUCCAAUGACCUCCCUGGCUGGAAAACGAAAAACUCUCACGUGACCACCGAACCGCCGCGACCUCCUUCACAACCCCA